ACGCUCGACACCUACGGGAUGCAGCAGUGGGGAAUAUUGCACAAUGGGGGAAACCCUGAUGCAGCGACGCCGCGUGAGUGAAGAAGUAUUUCGGUAUGUAAAGCUCUAUCAGCAGGGAAGAGAAUGACGGUACCUGACUAAGAAGCCCCGGCUAACUACGUGCCAGCAGCCGCGGUAAUCUGAGCGGGCUGGCAAGGC
rnacentral:rRNA from 1 species